UUGUGGUCAAGCUAAUAAGGGCUAAUGGUGGAUACCUAGGCACACAGAGGCGAAGAAGGACGUGGUUACCGACGAAAUACUCCGGGGAGUUGGAAGCAAACAUUGAGCCGGAGGUGUCCGAAUGGGGCAACCCUAAAUACUACCUGUUGAAUAUAUAGACAGGAAAGAGCCAACCCAGCGAACUGAAACAUCUUAGUAGCUGGAGGAAGAGAAAUCAAAAGAGAUUCCCUGAGUAGUGGUGAGCGAAAGGGGAAGAGCCUAAACCAGUUGGUUUACUGACUGGGGUAGUGGGACAGCGAUAUCGAAUCACGGAGACUAGACGAAGCAGCUAAAUACUGCACCAGAGGAGGUGAAAGUCCUGUAGUCGAAAGUCAAAGGAUAGUAGCUGAAUCCCGAGUAGCAUGGGGCACGAGGAAUCCCAUGUGAAUCAGCGAGGACCAUCUCGUAAGGCUAAAUACUACUGUGUGACCGAUAGUGAACCAGUACCGCGAGGGAAAGGUGAAAAGAACCCCGCAAGGGGAGUGAAAUAGAACAUGAAACCAUUAGCUUACAAGCAGUGGGAGUCCGAUUAAACGGAUGACCGCGUGCCUGUUGAAGAAUGAGCCGGCGACUUAUAGGCACUGGUAGGUUAAAGCGGAAAUGCUGGAGCCAAAGGGAAACCGAGUCUGAAAAGGGCGAUAAUCAGUGUUUAUAGACCCGAACCCUGGUGAUCUAACCAUGGCCAGGAUGAAGCUUGGGUAACACCAAGUGGAGGUCCGAACCGACCGAUGUUGAAAAAUCGGCGGAUGAGUUGUGGUUAGGGGUGAAAUGCCAAUCGAACCAGGAGCUAGCUGGUUCUCCCCGAAAUGUGUUGAGGCGCAGCGGUAACGAUUAUAUCUGGGGGGUAAAGCACUGUUUCGGUGCGGGCUGGGAGACCGGUACCAAAUCGAGACAAACUCAGAAUACCCAGAGCACACGUUGCCAGUGAGACGGUGGGGGAUAAGCUUCAUCGUCAAGAGGGAAACAGCCCAGACCACCAGCUAAGGUCCCCAAAUCAUCGCUAAGUGAUAAAGGAGGUGAGAUUGCCUAGACAACUAGGAGGUUUGCCUAGAAGCAGCCACCCUUGAAAGAGUGCGUAAUAGCUCACUAGUCAAGCGAUCUUGCGCCGAAAAUGAACGGGGCUAAGCGAUGUACCGAAGCUGUGGGAUUAAUUUAUUAAUCGGUAGGGGAGCGUUCCGUAGUAGGAAGAAGCAGUAGCGGCGAGCAGCUGUGGACGAGACGGAAGUGAGAAUGUCGGCUUGAGUAGCGCAAACAUUGGUGAGAAUCCAAUGCCCCGAAACCCUAAGGGUUCCAGAGCCAGGUUCGUCCACUCUGGGUUAGUCGGGACCUAAGGCGAGGCCGAAAGGCGUAGUCGAUGGACACAGGGUCAACAAUCCCUGACUACUGUAUGGGAGCAUUAUUAGGGACGCAUGAAAGAUAGCCAUACCCUGAUUGGUUUGGGAGGAGUUUACGAACUCCGAGUGGUGAAGGAUAGUGUCAAGAAAAGCUAGUAAUGUGAUGAACAUAUGGUACCCGUACCCGAAACCGACACAGGUAGGGAGGUUGAGAAUACCAAGGGGCGCGAGAUAACUCUCUCUAAGGAACUCGGCAAAAUGGCCCCGUAACUUCGGAAGAAGGGGUGCCCACCUAAGAAGUGGGUCGCAGUGAAGAGAUCCAGGCGACUGUUUACCAAAAACACAGGUCUCCGCAAACUCGUAAGAGGAAGUAUGGGGGCUGACGCCUGCCCAGUGCCGGAAGGUUAAGGAAGUUGGUCAGGGCGAAAGCUUAAAGCUGACGACCGAAGCCCCGGUGAACGGCGGCCGUAACUAUAACGGUCCUAAGGUAGCGAAAUUCCUUGUCGGGUAAGUUCCGACCCGCACGAAAGGCGUAACGAUCUGGAUGGUGUCUCAGAGAGAGACUCGGCGAAAUAGGAAUGUCUGUGAAGAUACGGACUGCCUGCACCUGGACAGAAAGACCCUAUGAAGCUUUACUGUAGCCUGGAAUUGUGUCCGGGCUUCGCUUGCGCAGGAUAGGUGGGAAGCGAUGAAGUAUUCCUUGUGGGGAAUAUGGAGCUAACGGUGAGAUACCACUCUGGCGAAGCUAGGAUUCUAACUUAUUUCCGUUAUCCGGAAAAAGGACAGUUUCAGGUGGGCAGUUUGACUGGGGCGGUCGCCUCCUAAAAGGUAACGGAGGCGCGCAAAGGUUCCCUCAGCACGCUUGGAAACCGUGCGGCGAGUGUAAAGGCAUAAAGGGAGCUUGACUGCAAGACCGACAAGUCGAGCAGGUACGAAAGUAGGCCUUAGUGAUCCGACGGCGCAGAAUGGAAUGGCCGUCGCUCAACGGAUAAAAGUUACUCUAGGGAUAACAGGCUGAUCUCCCCCAAGAGUCCACAUCGACGGGGAGGUUUGGCACCUCGAUGUCGGCUCAUCGCAACCUGGGGCGGAAGUACGUCCCAAGGGUUGGGCUGUUCGCCCAUUAAAGCGGUACGUGAGCUGGGUUCAGAACGUCGUGAGACAGUUCGGUCCAUAUCCGGUGCAGGCGUAAGAGCAUUGAGAGGAGCCUUCCUUAGUACGAGAGGACCGGGAAGGACGCACCGCUGGUGUACCAGUUAUUGUACCCGCAGUAAACGCUGGGUAGCCAAGUGCGGAGCGGAUAACCGCUGAAAGCAUCUAAGUGGGAAGCCCACCUCAAGAUGAGUGCUCUCACUACAAAAAGUAGGUAAGGUCACGGGCAGAACACCCGUUUAUAGGCUUUAAGUGGAAGUGCAGUAAUGUAUGAAGCUGAGGAGUACUAACAGACCGAGGGCUUGACCUCA
rnacentral:rRNA from 5 species